rnacentral:rRNA from 1 species
UACAGAGGGGGCUAGCGUUGUUCGGAAUUACUGGGCGUAAAGGGUUCGUAGGUGGCCUGCUAAGUCACACGUGGAAUCCCUCAGCUUAACUGGGGAACUGCGUGUGAUACUGGCGAGCUUGAGUGCAGGAGAGGAACGCGGAAUUCCAGGUGUAGCGGUGAAAUGCGUAGAUAUCUGGAGGAACACCGGUGGCGAAGGCGGCGUUCUGGACUGCAACUGACACUGAUGAACGAAAGCCAGGGGAGCAAACGGG